UGUUACAAUUUUAUUUUAUUUUAUUAUUUUUUUAUAAUUAAAUUUUAAUUUUAAUUAAUGUAAAAUUUAUUUUUUUAUAAUUUAAAUUUUUAUAAUUUAUUUUUAUUGUAAGUAGAUGCUAAGAUCUAGUUAGUAGAUCUUAGUACCAAUUUAUUUUUAUACUCUUUAAAUUUUUAUUAUUUAUUUUUAUUGUAAGUAGAAGCUAGA
rnacentral:lncRNA from 1 species